rnacentral:rRNA from 1 species
GAUGAACGCUGGCGGCGUGCCUAAUACAUGCAAGUCGAGCGAACGGACGAGAAGCUUGCUUCUCUGAUGUUAGCGGCGGACGGGUGAGUAACACGUGGAUAACCUACCUAUAAGACUGGGAUAACUUCGGGAAACCGUAGCUAAUACCGGAUAAUAUUUUGAACCGCAUGGUUCAAAAGCGAAAGACGGUCUUGCUGUCACUUAUAGAUGGAUCCGCGCUGCAUUAGCUAGUUGGUAAGGUAACGGCUUACCAAGGCAACGAUGCAUAGCCGACCUGAGAGGGUGAUCGGCCACACUGGAACUGAGACACGGUCCAGACUCCUACGGGAGGCAGCAGUAGGGAAUCUUCCGCAAUGGGCGAAAGCCUGACGGAGCAACGCCGCGUGAGUGAUGAAGGUCUUCGGAUCGUAAAACUCUGUUAUUAGGGAAGAACAUAUGUGUAAGUAACUGUGCACAUCUUGACGGUACCUAAUCAGAAAGCCACGGCUAACUACGUG